rnacentral:rRNA from 1 species
UGCAAGUCGAGCGGCAGCACGGGUACUUGUACCUGGUGGCGAGCGGCGGACGGGUGAGUAAUGCCUAGGAAUCUGCCUGGUAGUGGGGGAUAACGCUCGGAAACGGACGCUAAUACCGCAUACGUCCUACGGGAGAAAGCAGGGGACCUUCGGGCCUUGCGCUAUCAGAUGAGCCUAGGUCGGAUUAGCUAGUUGGUGAGGUAAUGGCUCACCAAGGCGACGAUCCGUAACUGGUCUGAGAGGAUGAUCAGUCACACUGGAACUGAGACACGGUCCAGACUCCUACGGGAGGCAGCAGUGGGGAAUAUUGGACAAUGGGCGAAAGCCUGAUCCAGCCAUGCCGCGUGUGUGAAGAAGGUCUUCGGAUUGUAAAGCACUUUAAGUUGGGAGGAAGGGCAGUUACCUAAUACGUGAUUGUUUUGACGUUACCGACAGAAUAAGCACCGGCUAACUCUGUGCCAGCAGCCGCGGUAAUACAGAGGGUGCAAGCGUUAAUCGGAAUUACUGGGCGUAAAGCGCGCGUAGGUGGUUUGUUAAGUUGAAUGUGAAAUCCCCGGGCUCAACC